rnacentral:rRNA from 1 species
UACGUAGGGUGCGAGCGUUGUCCGGAAUUAUUGGGCGUAAAGAGCUUGUAGGCGGUUUGUCGCGUCUGCUGUGAAAUCUCAAGGCUCAACCUUGAGCUUGCAGUGGGUACGGGCAGACUAGAGUGUGGUAGGGGAGACUGGAAUUCCCGGUGUAGCGGUGAAAUGCGCAGAUAUCGGGAGGAACACCAAUGGCGAAGGCAGCUCGCUGGGACGUUACUGACGCUGAGACGCGAAAGCGUGGGGAGCAAACAGG